rnacentral:rRNA from 1 species
CGGGGGGGGCAAGCGUUGUUCGGAAUUACUGGGCGUAAAGGGCUUGUAGGCGGCCAACUAAGUCCGACGUGAAAUCCCCAGGCUUAACCUGGGAACUGCGUCGGAUACUGGAUGGACUUGAAUUCGGGAGAGGGAUGCAGAAUUCCAGGUGUAGCGGUGAAAUGCGUAGAUAUCUGGAGGAAUACCGGUGGCGAAGGCGGCAUCCUGGACCGACAUUGACGCUGAGGAGCGAAAGCUAGGGGAGCAAACGGGAUUAGAUACCCCGGUAGUCCUAGCCCUAAACGAUGAAUGCUUGGUGUGGCGGGUAUCGAUCCCUGCCCGUGCCGAAGCUAACGCAUUAAGCAUUCCGCCUGGGGAGUACGGUCGCAAGGCUG